UACGAAGGGUGCAAACGUUGCUCGGAAUUAUUGGGCGUAAAGCGCACGUAGGCGGCUUUGCAAGUCGGGUGUGAAAUCCCUCGGCUUAACCAAGGAAGUGCAUCCGAAACUGCAGAGCUUGAGUACUUAAGAGGAUCGCGGAAUUCCCGGUGUAGAGGUGAAAUUCGUAGAUAUCGGGAGGAGCACCAGUGGCGAAGGCGGCGAUCUGGGAAGAUACUGACGCUGAGGUGCGAAAGCGUGGGGAGCAAACAGG
rnacentral:rRNA from 1 species